rnacentral:rRNA from 1 species
GAUGAACGCUGGCGGCGUGCUUAACACAUGCAAGUCGAACGGAAAGGCCCAAGCUUGCUUGGGUACUCGAGUGGCGAACGGGUGAGUAACACGUGGGUGAUCUGCCCUGCACUUCGGGAUAAGCCUGGGAAACUGGGUCUAAUACCGGAUAGGACCACUUCUUGGAUGUUGUGGGUGAAAGUUUUUUCGGUGUGGGAUGAGCUCGCGGCCUAUCAGCUUGUUUGUGGGGGAAUGGCCUACCAAGGCGUCGACGGGUAGCCGGCCUGGGAGGGUGUACGGCCAAAUUGGGACUGAGAUACGGGCCAGAAUCCCACGGGAGGCAGCAGUGGGGAAUAUUGCACAAUGGGCGCAAGCCUGAUGGAGCGAAGCCGGGUGGGGGAUGACGGCCUUCGGGUUGUAAACUCGUUUCGGUAGGGAAGAAGCGUUUUGUGACGGUAACUGGAGAAGAAGCACCGGCUAACUACGUG